UAGAGCACGGCACUCAGUGCCACGUCCAGUCUUUGAACACCUCCAGGGACCGUGACUCCACCACCUCCCUAGGCAUCACAUUCCAAUACCUAAUCACUCUUUCUGUGAAGAAAUUAGUCCUAACGUCCUGCCUAAACCUCUCCUGGUGGAAGUUGAGGUUUUGUGCUCUCAUCCUAUUGCUAAUUGCCUGGGGGAAGAGACUGAUCCCCAGCUGGCCAAAACCUCCUGUCAGGCAGGUGUAGAGAGCGACAUGGACCCCCCUGAGCCGCCUCUUCUCCAGGCUAAACACGCUCAGCUCCCACAGCUGCUCCUCACAGGACUUGUGCUCCAGAGCCUCCACCAGCGUCGUUGCCUUUAUGUGGACACGCUCCAGCGCCUGAAUGUCUUUCCUGAAUGGAGGGGCCCAGAAUUGGACACCGUUCUCAAGUGCAGUCUCACCAAUGCUAUAUAUAGGGAGAAAAUCACUGCCCCGGUCCUGCUGGCCACAUGAUGCCUGAUAAAGGCCAGGGUGCCACCGGCCUUCUUGGCCACCUAGGCACACGCUGGCUCGUGUUCAGCUGCUGUUGGCCAGCACCUUUCCAGCCAGUCUUCCCCCAGCCCGUAGCGCUACAGGGGUUGUUGGUGUGACACAAGUGCACUUGGUCUCGUCGAACCUCACACCACUGGUGUGGAUCGCUCAUGGAUGCAGUCCGUCUCCCCCCGCGCCACAACUUAUCCCGGUCCGGUCCCCACAGCAGCGGUGGCUGGGGCGGAGCGGGGAGAAGCAGCACCCCCGCUCCUCGCCUUCCCAAGCACACACACGCACAGGUCGGGCUGGAGCGGGAAGGGUGCCGCUGGCUCGGAGCUUCGGGCAGCCGCGCCGAGCGGACUACAGCACCCGGCAUGCCCCGCGGCAGUAGCGGGGCCUGCCGGGAGUUGUAGUCUUGGGGGGACACCAGCGGGCGCCCUUCCAUAGGGCCUCAGGGGCAGCGGCUUGACCGGCCUUUCCCUCUAAACUGGAGAAGGGACAGGAGCCUGGGUGGUGGGUCCCGGCGGCGCCGGUGGCUCCGACACGGAGACAGAAUAACCCAUUUCAAAAAUAUGUCCUGAUAAUAAAUACAUUGAAUGGUUUGCAUUCAAAAUCAGCUCUUCAUAGUAAUGCUUGCAGAUCACAUAAUUUCCUUGGUGAACACCUCUAGUUCAGCCGAGCCAUGAAGGAAGGACUGUGGACUGGGAAUGCUGGGGAGACCCUCUGAGUAAUUUAGGUUCAGCUUCUGCCCUGGAGCCUCCAUUUCAGCUGCCUACCCCUCCUGCAGGCCUGCCACCAUCAUUCCUGCCUACUUUUUUCCACACCUCUCUUGCCAACACUAAAACCCACAUGACUUUAAUACCAUCACUGCCUGAAGAAGAAACAAGUAAAAAGUGCACUAGAGAAGCUCCUCAGAGCAGGUUUGCCUGAUUGGAAUUGGCUUCAAUAGGUGGUUACAUGACCUAUGUGUGAAAAUGUCACUAGAGCUCUGCAACUGCUCUGGCUCCAGGUUUUUUCUGGACUUACUUUAUGAUGCACAUAAAACAGCAUCUUAAAUUACAUCUUUUAUUUACAGUGCAAUAUUUAAAGUUGUUAUCUGGUGGUCUGUUGGGCUUUGUUAAGAAAACAAAUGUUCCACUCUGUUUAUGCAUUCUUACCCUUGGGAUCUGGAAGAUAAACUGGCAAAUAGAGGUUUUUCUUCUUCUGUCUUAACACAGAAGAAGAAUGCUAACUCUGUUAUCUCCACUCUUUCUCUGUUUCUCUUCAUGAAUCAAGCAAAGAUUAAGCCAUAGUGCACACUUCUCAGAAACAGUAAUUCAGUAAUUCCAGAAUCACCUGCUGCUUAUGAACCAGAAGAACUGGGUCUCAGCUUGCAAAAAAUCAAGACAUGGGAAAUGGCUGCAAAAUGGUGAAUGCCACAAAAGUUUCUGUCUUUUCUCCUUUUAAUGAGGUAAAAAAAUUACAGAAAAGAGUGUAAAUGCAAAGGAAGCUUAGAAGCUUCUGCUAUGCAGAUUUAGAAGACAGAAGUAUUUAUGCUGUCUAAUUCUUCUACAUACCUCUUGUUUAAGAAAAACUGAGGAAAAACAGAAGUUUGGAUCUCUCCUUACUAUGAUAACAGGACUUAGAGGUUUUCCCAUGCAAACACUUUGUUAGACGUGGCUGUGCAGUAGGUGGGACUGGCAUCAGGGGUGUGCACAGUUUGGGUAAGACUGGGUUCAUACUUACCAACAGCAUAGUGAGAGGCAGUGAAUGAAGAACAGGGCACAGCCCCAAACUCUGGGGGGAUGUCACAUCAUCAGCGAGGCUGCAAAGGACCCCAGUAAGGCCACAGUUUAAUUUCCAACUCGAAGCUGCUUUUAACUGUGGUCUUUGUUGUUGUUUGAACACAUUUUGAAGCUCAUUAAUGCAUUGAUAUGUUUUGUUGCAUUUAGUAUCAUUUCUGAUCUAAUGUUUCUAUUUCAUCCAGACUGAUGUAUAUUUUUAUAUUAAAACAACACACGUGUUGUUGAUCAGCAAUAUCUGGCAACCUUCCCCAACAUCUGAUUAAUUUCAUUUCAUGACCUCACAGCACAGCUCUGGAAUGAAACCUUGGAUCUAUUUCAGUCAAUAGAACUCCUGUCACUGAUUUCAGUGAGAUAAUAAUGUCAUUCCAGAAGUGCUAUUAGUGUAUUCAUCACUGCUUGCAAAAGGAUAACAUUUGCUUAAUCUGAGGUCAACAUUUGUCCUGUGUAUUUGUAGAUCUUGAUGUUUUUCACUCUGCGAAUUCAGUAUUGUUGUUAUAAUAUCUCAGUUUUGAGAUAAUUUGAUAUCUUUCAAAACUGUUUGCUAUUAAAUAUUAAAUAAGCACUCUCUGUUCCUGAGAAGUAAUAGAAUAGAUUCAGUUUCUUAAUAGCUUUUUCCUGCUUAUUGUGCAGGUUGUUUGGUCAGUCCCACCAAUUCUAAACUUGAAAAUGCCUUGCAAUAAAACAAUAUCACAACCUU